UACGAAGGGGGCGAGCGUUUGUUCGGAAUUACUGGGCGUAAAGGGCGCGCAGGCGGCCUUAGAAGUCAGAUGUGAAAGCCCCGGGCUCAACCUGGGAAUGGCAUUUGAUACUCUGAGGCUGGAGUACGGGAGAGGAGAGUGGAAUUCCCAGUGUAGAGGUGAAAUUCGUAGAUAUUGGGAAGAACACCGGUGGCGAAGGCGGCUCUCUGGACCGUAACUGACGCGUGAGGCG
rnacentral:rRNA from 1 species